rnacentral:tRNA from 1 species
GGCAAGAUGGCCGAGUUGGUUAUGGCGUGAGGUUAAGGUCACCUUAGCACAGUUUUCCUCAUGGAGCAAUCCGCGUGGGUUCAAGUCCCACUCUUGUCA